UCUGCGGGGAAGCCUAGCAGCUCUUUCCUCAGUUGCAGGGAUGUUUCAGGCAACCCUCCAUCACUAGAAAACACCAGAUGGGAUGGAUAGAGGCAAUUUUGCAGAAAGUGCUGCGAGAUUGGCUUGCUCAAUGGUCUUUCCAGCUGGAAGCAGAGCGGCCAGAAAGCACUGCGUUCUCAGCCCAGUUUCAUCGCCUCAAGAACUACAGAUGGCUUCCCCGAGCACCUGAAGUCUGUGCUGCUUUCCUGGACAGAAUACGCUGCAAGCUGCGGAAACUCUUUUGUCUUUUCAUAGUGCAACUCAGACCCCAGUUUCUUUCUGCCUUGAGAGUGAGAGUAGAGGACGCAGAGUAGAAAGAGCCAGAAGGUGGGGAAAUGAAUGCUUAACAUUUGAAACUCCCUGGGACUGACCAGCUGCUCAAAAAGCUCCCAGAUAGAGAUGACCACGGAUGGAGAAGAUCAGGGCAGUGCAGUAUGGUGCAAGAAGCUUCAGCUCUGGGGCCAGUCAUACGGGGUUUGAAUCCAAUUCUGGCACCUGUUUGUUAGUGGAGCAGCUUCAGGCACCUCCGUCGCCGCUAUGACGUUGAAGGAACAAAUCAAGGACAUAAGACUGAGAGAUACAAUGUGGCCGAUUUCAUACAGAAACGCUGCUGAACUUCAUCACCUGUUUUGUCGUGGUUCAAGUAAGGGCUGAAAUAAUAGUAGAAAAACGCGUAAAUGAGUAAAUUCAACUGAGGAAAGAAAGGUGGCGACGUAAAGCAGUAUAUUUACAUAUGAAGAUUGGUCAGGGAUACACUCAUCUAUUCAUCCAGCCAUUCACCUACUCACCCUUCCAUCCAUCUGUUAAUUCUUUUUUUGUUUUCAAAAAUGUUUUCUUGGGACUUCCCUGUUGGCGCAGUGGUUAGGAGUCUGCCUGCCGACGCAGGGGACGUGGGUUCAAACCCUGGUCGGGGAAGAUCCCACAUGCUGCGGAGCAACUAAGCCCGUGCACCACAACUACUGAGGCUGCGCUCUAGAGCCCAUGAGCCACAACUGCUGAGCCUGCGUGCUACAACUACCGAAGCCUGUGCGCCUAGAGCCCGUGCUCUGCAACAAGAGAAGCCACCGCAAUGAGAAGCCUGCGCACCGCAACGAAGAGUAGCCCUCGCUCACCACAAUUAGAGAAAAGCCCGCGGGCAGCAACGAGACCCAAUGCAGCCGAAAAUAAAU